GCAUUUUGUUGUUGUUACUGACAUGUUUGAUUCUUCUACCUUUCUUUUCCUUUUGAGCCUAGAUAGGAAAACUUUGCAUCGACAACUGUAUGAGAUUUUAUGGUGUCAACAUCACGUACAGCUUACAAACGCCUAAUAUCAGCUGUUAUGCUGUGGAAAUCACCCAAGGCCAUGAGGACAAGUUUGGAAGCCUCUAUGUCAAUGAUUCUUCUGUGCUACAGAGACCGGAGUGCAAAGAAAUACAAUAUCCUGUGCUAGCUAAAGAGGAGAGGAGCAAGAAGGAAGCUCACACCUUUCUGACAGUUGUGCUUGAUGGAUCACUUAUACAUAAUGAUGAUGACUGUCCAGACUCAUGUGCCGUGAGCAAGACCCGAUCGGAAUGCGAAGAGUGUGGUGGUGUUGGAGUGCUAAUGGGAAAAUGCCAGUGGAGACAGGGAAGUGGGAAAGGAAUAACUACAAAUUAUUCCACUUGCAGUCCUAGCAUCAAGACUUGUCCUGAUGGUACCUGUGAUGCUGUUGAGAAUAAAGAUAAAGGGAUAUGCCCUCAAGACUGCACAAGUAUGGAAUCAAGGUUUUUAGUCAUUUUCAGUUUGAUUACCCUUUUGCUUU
rnacentral:lncRNA from 11 species